rnacentral:pre_miRNA from 1 species
AUGUAGAGCAAUCUAUGUUUAGACAGAGAUAAGUUACUCUAAAGAAAUUGUUCCUAGUUUUCCCUUCAAAUCAAGCAUUUUAU